UACGUAGGGGGCAAGCGUUGUCCGGAAUCAUUGGGCGUAAAGCGCGUGUAGGCGGCCCGGUAAGUCCGCUGUGAAAGUCCAGGGCUCAACCCUGGGAUGCCGGUGGAUACUGUCGGGCUCGAGUCCGGAAGAGGAGUGUGGAAUUCCUGGUGUAGCGGUGAAAUGCGCAGAUAUCAGGAGGAACACCGGUGGCGAAGGCGCCACUCUGGGCCGAAACUGACGCUGAGGAGCGAAAGCGUGGGUAGCAAACAGG
rnacentral:rRNA from 1 species